rnacentral:rRNA from 1 species
UACGUAGGGGGCAAGCGUUGUCCGGAUUCAUUGGGCGUAAAGAGCGUGUAGGCGGCCAGGUAGGUCGGUUGUGAAAACUGGAGGCUCAACCUUCAGAGGUCGACCGAAACCAUCUGGCUAGAGUCCGGGAGAGGAGAGUGGAAUUCCUGGUGUAGCGGUGAAAUGCGCAGAUAUCAGGAAGAACACCCGUGGCGAAGGCGGCAUCCUGGACCGGUAUUGACGCUGAGGCGCGAAAGCUAGGGGAGCAAACGGG